GAACGCUGGCGGCAGGCCUCAUACAUGCAAGUCGAGCGGUCCUUCGGGACAGCGGCGAACGGGUUAGUAACGCGUGGGAACGUGCCCUUUAGUACGGAAUAGCCAUUGGAAACGAUGAUUAAUACCGUAUACGCCCCAAGGGGGAAAGAUUUAUCGCUAAAGGAUCGGCCCGCGUUAGAUUAGGUAGUUGGUAGGGUAAUGGCCUACCAAGCCGACGAUCUAUAGCUGGUUUGAGAGGAUGAUCAGCAACACUGGGACUGAGACACGGCCCAGACUUCUACGGAAGGCAGCAGUAGGGAAUCUUGGACAAUGGGCGAAAGCCUGAUCCAGCCAUGCCGCGUGAGUGAUGAAGGCCCUAGGGUUGUAAAGCUCUUUCGCCAGGGAAGAUAAUGACGGUACCGGUAAAGAAACCCCGG
rnacentral:rRNA from 1 species